AAAAAUUACUUAAAUUAUUAUUUUUAUUCAGAAUACCAGUCAUCAUUUCUACAUACUCGUACAGGACUUUUUAUUUGGAACAACAUGAAUUAAACUAAUUAAAACAAUAGUACGUAUUUUGCAUUAUAAUAUCAUUUAUCUUUGAGGCUCUCGAUGGUUAUUAUUCAUUUUGGGGAACAAGUAGUCUUAAAUUCUAACCAAUCAUCAGUUGCAGGGCCUCCAGCAGUCAACGAGUGCUCUGGCCCCAGCAACAGUGGCCAAAUCGGAGCUCCAUCCGUUUGUGGGUGCUCCAACAUUAGCAACCUUUCUUGUCUGGUAGAUGGCUUCCAAAAAGUUGAUCCAGAUCUUCUUACCCAUUUCACCUUGUAACUAAUUCUCGUUAUUAAUGCUUAUGGCAAAAACCUAAUUCUUGUUAUUAAUGUUUUUAAUUUAUUUUCAAACUUGAAAUCUAUUUGUUCUGAUUUAAUUAGAAAUAACUCAAAGUUUUAAGGGCGCCUAUUUAUAGAAAAUAAUAAGGUUUAACGAGUCAUAUAUUGAUUUAUGUGCAAUUAUACAAUGCAUCCAAAAAGAAAUUUAUAUGCAAUGAUUCAAAAUGUGAAUCUCCAAAGCAAUAGCUCUUUUUUCCUUUGGCGGAAAAGGAAUAGCUUUUAUAUAUAAACAUAAAUAUCUGAAGGGGAUUGGAUGCCCAGGUGGGGCAACUCUUCUUCAUCGAGCAUUUUAAGAGAAUGUUCCUACAAUCCUUUGUGUAAUUGGGAGAUAAUUUCGAGAAUUCCAAGGCAACAUAUUGAUUGAUUAGUUAUUUAGUUUAGUUGUAAAUUCUCUAGUUUUUUUUCUUGGCCAAAAAUUCUCCGGUAUUGUCGACUCAACAAGGCUUUUCGUAUUAGUUUUUCUUGUGAUGUUUUGUGUACCAGUUAAAACAGUUUGAACCUAAUUAAUUGACUGGUAUGCAUGGUAGAAUUAUAUCGAUAGUACCCUUUGUUAUAAGCUUAAACAGGUACAACUUGUGCAUUUUUUCUAAAGUAUAUGCCUUGAUUUGAACUUCAAUUACUACAAAACAACAACAGAUGAAGCCCAGUAUAAGUUAAAUAUAUCUCAACUUAUAAUCCUCUUGACAAGUCAAAUAGAUUAAAUUAAUAACUUCCUAUUUGUUUAUUGAUUUUUUUCCAUAUAGUAAAGGGAAAAUACUGCUUUCAACUGUGAUAAUAUGCUUAGAUUACAGUUUUAUUUUCCUUCAUUAUACUCAUCCUGGCAUGUUUCUCCAUAUGCAUAGAAUUUGAGAGGUAAAUUACGCUUUUCAUACUUUGAAAAUAAAAUGACUUUUUAUGGAUUUUAAUUCACAUCGGACACACUGAUAUAUUGUUUUAUUCUUCUCAAUUUUAAGUAAACCUAAGAGAAAAUACCAUCAAAGUCGAAUAUUAUUACUUUCCUAAUCAUCAUUUUUUUCAUUCAUGAGUCAUCUUCAUACGUGCCAAAUGAUAGGUUUGGAGUUUGGACCAAUUAGUGAAAAACAUGAUUUAGUAAACUUGUGUGGCAAGUUCUAUUGGCUAUGCUUAUGUCCUAAGCCUAGAGAAGUUUCUCCAUAUACCAAGGAUGACUAUUUAAUAAUCAUAUGAGCCUAUGCAACUAAAAUGAUUUAUAUAUAUCACAGUCAUCAUUAGACACCAAUAACCUAAAUGUCCGAACCAUUCCUGCAUUAUGUUGAUCACAUAAAUAAUAUUUAUUUACCUGAUAUUAAUAACUGCUGUUUAGAUUAGAUAUUUUAAUCACCAUAUUAAUUGGUUAAUUUAGGAAUAAAUUUUGGAUAGAAAUUAAUUAUAAUAUUUAGUAGAGAAGCAGUAGUUAAUUUGUUUUAAACAUUAAAAAGACAAUAUCACCGAUAGUGUGAUGAAAUCAACCAUUUCAAAACUUGUGUGCUAUUUGAAUAAUGAGGGGGGAAAAAGUAGCAAGUAAGCGGACAACUCUCGUGUGGCAAUGGUCGAUGGGGGUGCAACAAGGCAUGAUGGUGGCCAAGUUGAAGAAUAGCUUAAUUUCUUUAUGAACAAGUUGAGGUAAGCUUUGAUAAAAAGCUGGUCAAAAAAAAUAGCUUUGAUAAAAACGAAAAAGAAAGAAAAUUUUGUCCCAAACUUACUCAAACUCAUUACUCAUCACAAAUUAAAUUUAACUUUACAAAAAAGUGGCAUGUUUUUUUUUUUGUUUUUUCGGUUUGGGAGUGUUCAGUUGGUUCAAGCUCAAUAAUUAAGUUGAUGUCUGUAACUUCAAAGGUUCAAUUCUCAUUGGUGUUCAUCGGGGAAAAAAGUGUAGUUUUUAAGGGAUCAGAACAAAAAUAUUUCUCUCCCUAUUCUACAUCUUGAUCUAGGAGGGGGGGGGGAAAUAACCCUAAUCAUAUCAGUUUCGGCUAGCUUGCAAAAAGUAAAUAUUAAUAUAAAUAGAUAAAACAAACACUUCUUUUCAGACC